UUUAAGUCUAUUCUGUACAGUAGGACACCUUGGUGAGAGGAAUCACUGAAGAUACAAGCAUGAGAGAAGAUUGACAAGAGUAACGCUGCAUAUAUGGAUACUCAGAGAAGGAGUGGGUAGUUGCAGACAUAUUUGGAGACCAGUGCUCAAGUCAACCAGAAAAUAUUAGCAGUGGAGGAGAAACACUGGUGGUGUAAGCCUCUGUGGCCAGACAUUAUAAGGAGUACCUAAUGGAAGUUCAGCAAAUAUGAUGGCAAUAACAGAUCGCCAAAAACUGCUUUCUUAUGCUGACAGAACAGGAGCAAUCAGGACUCUCACGUAUCCAUUCUACUUUUGCUGCUCUGCACAUAGUGAAUGUAGUUAAGUUCACUCUGCUGAAAGUACGUGGCUCAGUCAGACUACCACAAGAAGCCUUUUGAAAGGAACAACUGAAUGUUGCCAUCCUGUAUUGUACUCUGCUAGGACACAUAUAUUUAUGUAUGAUAGCUAUGUUUUAUUAAAAGCUAUGAUUUUUGUAGUAGGUCAUUCUUCCUCUUUUAAUCUUUCAGUAUAGACUUCUGAUCAGAUCCUUCUUCAUUCUUGUAGUUCGGUAGCAAUUUAUCUACCUUCUUGUGGCAUAUGGGUUAAGAUUAUCAUAUACUCAUGAUGGUAGCCUUAAUUGUCAUCCAUAUCUAAUUAUUUUAUAGUCUGAAAUCCUCUUGUAUUUUGUCCUGGUUGUGCAAAUGUAUUCACAUAAUCACUAAGCCAAAUGUACUUUGUAUUCAGAAAAAUUACAUAGCACUUAUUAGAAAAUACAUUAUUUUGAGCAUGAAAUGGAAAAUGAACAAGUUGCCAAUUAACAGUAAAAUACAUGAGAGCACAAAUGUCAGCAAAUAAGUUCAAGAUGUUGAAUUACUAGCAAGGUAAUACUUAUUGGACAAGAGCUGUCUGGAAGCAAAUAGUAAGGGACUUGCCAUUAAUUGAUUCUAGAGAAACUCUUAGUACAAUAAAUGGAGUUAUUCCUCCAAAACCCCAUACUGUAAACUGGGCAGGCCUGUUGUAUGAAUUUGUACAUGUGACUUAUGGAAAGUUCAAGUGAUCAUUGCAGCAGUCAUGGUGCCUCUUUCAGCACUUCUAUUUGAUUUCCUCUGCUCUGGUUGUGAAACACUUUGCUUCCAAGGGUAAAAGGAUUUGGAACAUUAUUGAGUAAGAGGUAGGAAUAAGAAGUGCAAAAGAAAGUUUUGGAAAAAUCGGGUUAAAUAAUCCCACUACAGGAAAUGACAGUUAUUCCUUAAAUCAUUAACUCAAAUUUCCCCAAAGCAUUCAGUUUGCUUAAUAUACCACCAAAUGAUCAGUAUUCUAUCAAAGUGAACUAAAAUAAAAAAAUUAGGGAAAUUGUUAGUAAUAUUAUAAAAAUCAAUCCGUCCUGCAUAUUUUUUCUGGCUGUUACAUCAAUCUUGCAUAUGCUGUCUAAUAACAGGAGUAUCAUAGGAAUAAAAAUGGGAACAUUAUUUUUAAAAUCAGUGAUUUUGUUUUCCAAUGAAUCAUCUAAUACUUUCUUAAAUAAUGAUAGAAAAGAUCUCAGCUAACCACUCUGAGGAGUUUACUUCAUGUCUGGAAACUUUCACUGCAAGGAAGUAUCCUUGCAGCAUUUAAACUCAGAAUUUCUCUAAGUUUUAAUGAGAAUUUUUUUGCAAACGCUUUUAAUCCAGAGAAAAGCAAUCAAAUUCUUAGUCUGAUUUCACCUUAUUUGCUAAUUGGACUAAACUGUUUGUUUUCAGUUUUCAUGUAGUGUUUGUAGCGCAUGCAUAAUUUAGUACUCAAUCAUAAGUAGGAGAAAGUACAUACAUUUUAUUGAGAAUGAAACAGUGGUUUAUCAUAUUGUCACUUUAGCAAGCACAACUGAAUCAUUCCGGUCCUGUGAAUCUAACUUGCCUUACAAAAUUCUGUUUGCAAUAUUAAAGCAACACAUGGAUUAAAUAGUUCAAUUAGUGAAAGAUAUCCAAGGUAAAGUCUACAAAUGAUCUAACUGUACUCUGUUGGAAGGAAAAGAAAAAGGUGAAAAUUAAAGCUGCUAUUUUUGCUGCUGUUAUUGGGCAUAUUUUAAUUUUGUCUGCUGUUCUGCCACACUCUGUCAACUGCUGAGUUUCUGUUUCAGUCAUUGUUGAGAUGAACGAAAUGAUGCUUUUGUAGCAUUUGGUACAAAGAAAAUAAUUCAAGCAGUGCUUCACAUAAAUGCUCAUGCAAAUCUCAAAAUGUCUGGUGUACUAAGUAAGAGUUUGGCAUAAAAAUAUACAUCUUUAAUUUUAAACAGAAAAAAUUAAUUUUGCUAUGCUCAUACAGCUGCCUCCGAUAACUCUGUCUAACCUGUAAGUAUAUGAGUGAAUUUGUGAUGAACAGUUUGAAAAACUGCUACUGUUUAUUUUCCUGAAUCAUGUGGUGCAGAAUGUCACAUGUCAUGCACUGCGCAACGAAUCCUGGUGAUGUAAAGAAAAGAAUAAGGAGAUAGUUGCUACUUUCCAGUGCUUUAGUGAGAAGAUCUCUGACCUCAACUUCUCUGCAGCUAUACCCUCCUGAUCUGGUUAUAUCACAUCAUUUGAUAAAAUUAGAAUCAGGUAGGAGUUUGAUAAUGCAAAAACAUUGCAUACUGAGACUUGAGCAUUGCAAACGAUGUAUUCGCAGUGAAUCAGUGCACAGGAACUCUGAUCUACUUCCAUUGUCUUUAUUGUGCCACCAGUAUUGUUGCCUUUUUAUGAAACCUGAAGUGAGUAUUGUGUGAGCCUGAGAUAUUACAAUACAGGACUAAAAUCACACGAAUUCCAUUUCAAGUUGCUGACCUUAAUAAACAUUAAAUCAUGCAGUA